rnacentral:rRNA from 1 species
AACGAACGCUGGCGGCAUGCCUAACACAUGCAAGUCGAACGAGAGCUUCGGGUCUAGUUGCGCACGGGUGCGUCACGCGUGGGACGCUGCCCUUAGGUUUGGAAUUCCACCCUGACGGGGGUGCUAAUGCCGGGUAACGUACUCUAAUAAAAGAUUCAUCGCCUUUGGUUGGGCAGGCGUUGGUUUGGCCUGUGGGUAGGGUAAAAGCCUACCAAGGCGACGCUACUUAGCUGGUCUCAGAGGAUCAUCAGCCACACUUGGACUGUGACACGGCCCAGACUCCUACAGGAUGCAGCAGAGGGGAAUAUUGGACUAUGGGCGAAAGCCUGAACCAGUUAGGCCGCUUGAGUGAUGAAGGCCUGAGAGAUGUAAAGCUCUUUUACCCGGGAUGAUAAUGACAGUACCGGGAGAAUAAGCUCCGGCUAACUCCGUG